CACGUAGGGUGCGAGCGUUUGUCCGGAAUUAUUGGGCGUAAAGAGCUCGUAGGCGGUGUGUCGCGUCGGCCGUGAAACCUGCAGCUUAACUGUGGGCUUGCGGUCGAUACGGGCAUCACUGGAGUUCGGCAGGGGAGACUGGAAUUCCUGGUGUAGCGGUGAAAUGCGCAGAUAUCAGGAGGAACACCGGUGGCGAAGGCGGGUCUCUGGGCCGUAACUGACGCUGGAGGAGCGAAAGCCGUGGGGAGCGAACAGGA
rnacentral:rRNA from 1 species